rnacentral:rRNA from 1 species
ACGAACGCUGGCGGCGUGCUUAACACAUGCAAGUCGAACGGAAAGGCCUUUUCGGAGGUACUCGAGUGGCGAACGGGUGAGUAACACGUGGGUGAUCUGCCCUGCACUCUGGGAUAAGCCUGGGAAACUGGGUCUAAUACCGGAUAGGACCGCACUUUAGUGUGUGUGGUGGAAAGUUUUUUCGGUGUAGGAUGAGCCCGCGGCCUAUCAGCUUGUUGGUGGGGUAAUGGCCUACCAAGGCGGCGACGGGUAGCCGGACUGAGAGGUUGGUCGGCCACAUUGGGACUGAGAUACGGCCCAGACUCCUACGGGAGGCAGCAGUGGGGAAUAUUGCACAAUGGGCGCAAGCCUGAUGCAGCGACGCCGCGUGGGGGAUGACGGCCUUCGGGUUGUAAACUCCUUUCGCCAGGGACGAAGCGUUUUGUGACGGUACCUGGAGAAGAAGCACCGGCUAACUACGUGCCAGCAGCCGCGGUAAUACGUAGGGUGCAAGCGUUGUCCGGAAUUACUGGGCGUAAAGAGCUCGUAGGUGGUUUGUCACGUCGUCUGUGAAAUUCCACAGCUUAACUGUGGGCGUGCAGGCGAUACGGGCUGACUUGAGUACUGUAGGGGUAACUGGAAUUCCUGGUGUAGCGGUGAAAUGCGCAGAUAUCAGGAGGACACCGAUGGCGAAGGCAGGUUAC